rnacentral:rRNA from 1 species
GAUGAACGCUGGCGGCGUGCCUAAUACAUGCAAGUCGAGCGAACAGAUGAGGAGCUUGCUCCUCUGACGUUAGCGGCGGACGGGUGAGUAACACGUGGAUAACCUACCUAUAAGACUGGGAUAACUUCGGGAAACCGGAGCUAAUACCGGAUAAUAUAUUGAACCGCAUGGUUCAAUAGUGAAAGACGGUUUUGCUGUCACUUAUAGAUGGAUCCGCGCCGCAUUAGCUAGUUGGUAAGGUAACGGCUUACCAAGGCAACGAUGCGUAGCCGACCUGAGAGGGUGAUCGGCCACACUGGAACUGAGACACGGUCCAGACUCCUACGGGAGGCAGCAGUAGGGAAUCUUCCGCGAUGGGCGAAAGCUUGACGGAGCAACGCCGCGUGAGUGAUGAAGGUCUUCGGAUCGUAAAACUCUGUUAUUAGGGAAGAACAAAUGUGUAAGUAACUAUGCACGUCUUGACGGUACCUAAUCAGAAAGCCACGGCUAACUACG